GGACUACAAGGGUAUCUAAUCCCGUUUGCUCCCCUGGCUUUCGCGCCUCAGCGUCAGAAGAGGGCCAGCAGCUCGCUUUCGCCACCGGCGUUCCUUCCGAUAUCAACGCAUUUCACCGCUCCACCGGAAGUUCCAGCUGCCCCUACCUCCCUCCAGUUUCCCAGUAUCCAAGGCCCUUUUCCGGUUGAGCCGAAAGAUUUCACCCCGGACUUGGGAAACCGCCUACGCGCCCUUUAAGCCCAGUGAUUCCGAACAACGUUUGCACGGUUCGUCUUACCGCGGCGGCUGGCAC
rnacentral:rRNA from 1 species